rnacentral:misc_RNA from 1 species
UUCAUAGUACUGGCAUCUC